GACGAACGCUGGCGGCGUGCUUAACACAUGCAAGUCGAACGGAAAGGCCCUGCUUGCAGGGUACUCGAGUGGCGAACGGGUGAGUAACACGUGGGUGAUCUGCCCUGCACUUCGGGAUAAGCCUGGGAAACUGGGUCUAAUACCGGAUAGGAGCCAUUUUUAGUGUGAUGGUUGGAAAGUUUUUUCGGUGUAGGAUGAGCUCGCGGCCUAUCAGCUUGUUGGUGGGGUAAUGGCCUACCAAGGCGGCGACGGGUAGCCGGCCUGAGUGGGUGGACGGCCACAUUGGGUCCGAGAUAAGGCCCAGACUGCUACGGGAGGCAGAAGGGGGGAAGACUGCACAAGCGGCGCCAGCCUGAUGCAGCGAGGCCGCGGGGGGGAUGACGGCCUUCGGGUUGAAAAAUCCUUUUGCUAGGGACGAAGCUUUUUGUGACGGUACCUAGAGAAGAAGCACCGGCUAACUACGUG
rnacentral:rRNA from 1 species